GUUAAUUGAUUAAAAAUAGAGUGAAUUGUGGACCAUUUUCCACCUAAUAUUUUCACAUUGUGAUAGGAUUUUUCCCUCAUUAUGAUUUGAACCACAUAAAUACAUUGGUACUCAUAUGCAGACAAUCUCUUCUACUUACGAGCAAGCCCCAUCUUUAGUAUGGAUGGACUAGAAAAGAAAGUUACAAGUGCUCCGAAUUAUGGCAAAAACAAAACUAUCUAUUGUAACACGAAAAAGGUUGAAUAAGAGGCCGUCCAAAAGCAACAAAAGACGGUCCAAACCCAAAC
rnacentral:lncRNA from 1 species